rnacentral:rRNA from 1 species
CCCUUAGAUGUCCUGGGCCGCACGCGCGCUACACUGACAUGUUCAACAAGCCUCCUAGUUCGACAGGAUUUGGGAAAUCUUUGAACGCGUGUCGUGAUAGGGAUAGAUCAUUGCAAUUAUUGAUCUUGAACGAGGAAUUCCUAGUAAACGCGAGUCAUCAGCUCGCAUUGAUUACGUCCCUGCCCUUUGUACACACCGCCCGUCGCACCUACCGAUUGAAUGUUUCGGUGAAGAUUCCGGAUAGGACUUUUUUGAUUUAUUUCAAUUUUGUCUUAAAAGCUAUCUAAACCUCAACAUUUAGAGGAAGGUGAAGUCGUAACA